CUCUUCGUGGCUUAAUGGUAGAGUACUGAUGCGUAAAACCAAGAGCUUGGGUUCGAUUCCCGGCGAGGGAG
rnacentral:tRNA from 1 species